GAGUUUGAUCCUGGCUCAGGAUGAACGCUGGCGGCGUGCCUAACACAUGCAAGUCGAACGAAGCACCUUACUUGAUUCUUCGGAUGAAGACCUUUGUGACUGAGCGGCGGACGGGUGAGUAACGCGUGGGUAACCUGCCUCAUACGGGGGGACAACAGUUGGAAACGACUGCUAAUACCGCAUAAGCCCACGAUCCGGCAUCGGAUUGAGGGAAAAGGAUUUAUUCGCUUCAGGAUGGACUCGCGUCCAAUUAGCUAGUUGGUGAGGUAACGGCCCACCAAGGCGACGAUUGGUAGCCGGACUGAGAGGUUGAACGGCCACAUUGGGACUGAGACACGGCCCAGACUCCUACGGGAGGCAGCAGUGGGGGAUAUUGCACAAUGGGGGAAACCCUGAUGCAGCGACGCCGCGUGGAGGAAGAAGGUUUUCGGAUUGUAAACUCCUGUCGUUAGGGACGAUAAUGACGGUACCUAACAAGAAAGCACCGGCUAACUACGUGCCAGCCGCCGCGGUAAUAC
rnacentral:rRNA from 1 species